UAUCACUAAGGGGAGGAAAAGAAACUAACAAGGAUUCCCCUAGUAACGGCGAGUGAAGCGGGAAGAGCCCAGCACCGAAUCCCGCGGCCCAGCGUCGCCGGGAACUGUGGUGUUCGAGUCGUGAGAUGCCGACCCCGUGCGAACGCCCAAGUCCUCCCGAUCGGGGCCUUUCCCAGAGUGGGUGCUAGGCCUUUACUGGCGAUCAGCCGGGGCGGCUCCGAGCGUCUCAAGAGUCGGGUUGUUUGGGAAUGCAGCCCAAAGUGGGUGGUAAACUCC
rnacentral:rRNA from 1 species